rnacentral:rRNA from 1 species
UGAGUAACCUGCCCUUAACUCUGGGAUAAGCCUGGGAAACUGGGUCUAAUACCGGAUAUGACUCCUCAUCGCAUGGUGGGGGGUGGAAAGCUUUAUUGUGGUUUUGGAUGGACUCGCGGCCUAUCAGCUUGUUGGUGAGGUAAUGGCUCACCAAGGCGACGACGGGUAGCCGGCCUGAGAGGGUGACCGGCCACACUGGGACUGAGACACGGCCCAGACUCUUACGGGAGCAG